rnacentral:tRNA from 1 species
GGCGUAGUAGUGAACACGUUCAAGUUGGCAGACUGUAAAUCUGCCGGCUCAGCCUUCCCAGGUUCGAAUCCUGGCGCCGCCA